rnacentral:rRNA from 1 species
UACGUAGGUGGCAAGCGUUGUCCGGAUUUACUGGGCGUAAAGAGCGCGCAGGCGGUCGUUCAAGUCGCGUGUGAAAGCCCCCGGCUCAACCUCGGAACUGCCUUCGAUACUGGCGAUCUUCGAGUCCGGGAGAGGUGAGUGGAACUCCGAGUGUAGAGGUGAAAUUCGUAGAUAUUCGGAAGAACACCAGUGGCGAAGGCGGCUCAGCUGGCCCGGUACUGACGCUGAGAUACGAAAGCGUGGGGAGCAAACAGG